AAAAAUCUAUGUAAAAAAAUUUCCAUAUAAAUAAAUUUUUCAUGAUUUUAAAAAUUUUCUUUAAAUUUAUUUUACAUAUAAAUUUUAGUAUAAAAUUUUAUUUAUUUUAAAAAUAAUUAAUUUAAUUUGUAGUAAUUAACAUUAAAAAUUUAAGAAAUUAAGAUUUAGUAAUAUAAAAAUUAAUAACAAAUUUUGUGCCAGCAGUUGCGGUUAAACAAAAGUUAAAUUAAAUUUUAUUAGGAUAUUAAUAAAUAUAAAAUUAUAUUAAUUUAAAUAUUAGAUUGUUAAGUGAAAUUUUAAUUUAAAUUAAAAUUAAUAAUAUUUAUUUUAUUAUAUGAUUUAAUAAAUUUUAUUAUAAACUAGGAUUAGAUACCCUAUUAUUAUAAAUUUAAAUAUAAAUACUAAAAUAGUAUAUAAUUAUUUAUUGAAACUUAAAUAAUUUGGCGGUAUUUUAGUUCAUUUAGAGGAAUCUGUUUAUUAAUUGAUAAUCCACGAAUAAUUUUACUUAAUGAAAAAAUUUUGUAUAUCGUUGUUAAAAAAAUAUUUUUAAAUAAAUUUAAUAUUUUAAAAUUUUAAAUAAAAAUUAAAUCAGAUCAAGAUGCAGAUUAUAAUUAAGAAUAUAAUGGAUUACAAUAAAUUUAUUUAUAUGGAAAUUUUAUUGAAAAAUUAAAUUGAAGGUGGAUUUAAAUGUAAUUUUAUUUAAUUUGUUAAAAUGAUUAAAAAUUAAAAUAUGUACAUAUUGCCCGUCGCUUUCAUUUAUAAAUUGAAAUAAGUCGUAACAAAGUAGAGGUACUGGAAAGUGUUUCUAGAAAGA
rnacentral:ncRNA from 1 species